rnacentral:rRNA from 1 species
GUAACGCGUGGGUAACCUACCUCGUACAGGGGGACAACAGAUGGAAACGUCUGCUAAUACCGCAUAAGCGCACAGUAUCGCAUGAUACAGUGUGAAAAGCCGAGACGGUACGAGAUGGGCCCGCGUCUGAUUAGCUAGUUGGUAAGGUAGAGGCUUACCAAGGCGACGAUCAGUAGCCGACUUGAGAGAGUGACCGGCCACAUUGGGACUGAGACACGGCCCAAACUCCUACGGGAGGCAGCAGUGGGGGAUAUUGCACAAUGGGGGAAACCCUGAUGCAGCGACGCCGCGUGAAGGAAGAAGUAUUUCGGUAUGUAAACUUCUAUCAGCAGGGAAGAAAAUGACGGUACCUGACUAAGAAGCCCCGGCUAACUAUGUGCCAGCAGCCGCGGUAAUACAUAGGGGGCAAGCGUUAUCCGGAAUGACUGGGUGUAAAGGGAGCGUAGGCGGAAUGGCAAGUCUGAUGUGAAACCCCGGGGCUUCACCCCGGGCCUGCAUUGGAAACUGUUGUUCUAGAGAGCAGGAGAGGUAAGCGGAAUUCCUGGUGUAGCGGUGAAAUGCGUAGAUAUCAGGAGGAACACCGGU